rnacentral:hammerhead_ribozyme from 1 species
AGUUAGCUGACGAGUCCCAAAAUAGGACGAAAAGCACAUUAUCCUGGAU